UAUGAUAAAACCCCAAAAUGGAUAUUCUGCUUUCAAUGUUGCUAAAUUAAUAGGAAGAUUUCAAAGGUAUAUGUCAGAUUGUGAAGAAAAAGUGGAAAAAAAGAAGCAUGUGUAUCGGAGAUACUGAACAGAGAAUAGAGUGGGUGGAGUAAGCCUGCUUUCUUCAAAAGAAGCAAUUUUACAUGGUGUGUAAAACCGACCUUGGACAAGAAAUGGAACACAAAGAUAAAUCAUUUGUGGUGAAUUUAAACAUGAAUCCGUGGAGCUCCUCCUUUUCUGAAAUCCUCCAUUUCUUUUAAAACAUUCUGGUAAUAAAUUGCUGUGAGUUUUUGCCAUAUCCUAUGUCCUUA
rnacentral:lncRNA from 1 species